rnacentral:piRNA from 1 species
UUUAUUCAUUUUGUUCAUUCU